rnacentral:rRNA from 1 species
CACGUAGGGGACGAGCGUUGUCCGGAUUCAUUGGGCGUAAAGCGCGCGUAGGCGGCUCGGAAAGUCGGUCGUGAAAUGCCGGGGCUCAACCCCGGGACUGCGUCCGAUACUCCCGAGCUGGAGGCAGGUAGGGGAGAUCGGAAUUCCUGGUGUAGCGGUGAAAUGCGUAGAGAUCGGAAAGAACACCAACGGCGAAAGCACUCUGCUGGGCCGACACUGACACUGAGAGACGAAAGCUAGGGGAGCGAAUGGG